GAGCUUGCUCCCUUAGGUCGCGGCGGACGGGUGAGUAACACGUGGGUAACCUGCCUGUAAGACUGGGAUAACUCCGGGAAACCGGGGCUAAUACCGGAUGCUUGAUUGAACCGCAUGGUUCAAUUAUAAAAGGUGGCUUUCAGCUACCACUUGCAGAUGGACCCGCGGCGCAUUAGCUAGUUGGUGAGGUAACGGCUCACCAAGGCGACGAUGCGUAGCCGACCUGAGAGGGUGAUCGGCCACACUGGGACUGAGACACGGCCCAGACUCCUACGGGAGGCAGCAGUGGUCAUAGC
rnacentral:rRNA from 1 species